UGCCCGCUGAUGAACUCUUAAUUCUAAUCACCUUGGAGAACAGAUUUCCCGUGGGCGAAUCGACGCGCUCGCGGGCUGCUGAUUCAUCGACUUCUGAGGGCA
rnacentral:snoRNA from 1 species